GAUGAACGCUGGCGGCGUGCCUAAUACAUGCAAGUCGAGCGAACCACUUCGGUGGUGAGCGGCGAACGGGUGAGUAACACGUAGGUGAUCUGCCCAUCAGACGGGGACAACGAUUGGAAACGAUCGCUAAUACCGGAUAGGACGAAAGUUUAAAGGUGCUUCUGGCACCGCUGAUGGAUGAGCCUGCGGCGCAUUAGCUAGUUGGUAGGGUAAGGCCUACCAAGGCGACGAUGCGUAGCCGACCUGAGAGGGUGAACGGCCACACUGGGACUGAGACACGGCCCAGACUCCUACGGGAGGCAGCAGUAGGGAAUCUUCGGCAAUGGGCGAAAGCCUGACCGAGCAACGCCGCGUGAAUGAUGAAGGCC
rnacentral:rRNA from 1 species